UAAUACAUGCAAUUCNAGCCGAUAAGAUGGGAACUUGCUCCCUGAUGUUAGCGGCGGACGGGUGAGUAACACGUGGGUAACCUGCCUGUAAGACUGGGAUAACUCCGGGAAACCGGGGCUAAUACCGGAUGGUUGUUUGAACCGCAUGGUUCAAACAUAAAAGGUGGCUUCGGCUACCACUUACAGAUGGACCCGCGGCGCAUUAGCUAGUUGGUGAGGUAACGGCUCACCAAGGCGACGAUGCGUAGCCGACCUGAGAGGGUGAUCGGCCACACUGGGACUGAGACACGGCCCAGACUCCUACGGGAGGCAGCAGUAGGGAAUCUUCCGCAAUGGACGAAAGUCUGACGGAGCAACGCCGCGUGAGUGAUGAAGGUUUUCGGAUCGUAAAGCUCUGUUGUUAGGGAAGAACAAGUACCGUUCGAAUAGGGCGGUACCUUGACGGUACCUAACUCAGAAAGCCACGGCUAACUACGUGCCAGCAGCCGCGGUAAUACGUAAGUGGCAAGCGUUGUCCGGAAUUAUUGGGCGUAAAGGGCUCGCAAGCGGUUUCUUAAUCUGAUGUGAAGCCCCCGCUCACCCGGGGAGGUCAUUGGAACUGGGGAACUUGAUGCAAAAAAGAAAUGGA
rnacentral:rRNA from 1 species